AGCUGUCAUUCAUAACGGUGGGCAGCGAAUGUCUGGCUCUGCCCUCCGAAGGCAGAGGUCACAGCUUCGAAUCUUGUCGGGUGCGCCA
rnacentral:tRNA from 1 species